rnacentral:lncRNA from 1 species
AUGACAAAGAGAAAGAGACAGAGGUUCUCUCAAAAAACUAAGUACUACACUACUUAGAAAUGAGAAUUACAACCUACAAACAGCAUACAAACACACUCUCUCUUGUGUGUCAUGGCCUUAGCCAACCCCACUAUUUAUAGGCCCAAAGGUGCCUUUUCAACUCACCCACUACCACAUAACUCACCCAUUAUUACAUACAUAAUGAGCCUACAUAAUGAGCCCUCAUAAAUGCCAAAAGCUCAAGAGUCACCCAUAACUCCCAUGAGUUUCAUGACCCUUGAGUUUCCCACAGCGGGUUGGGUUUGGGUCUACUUGCCAACCCGAUUCGACCCGUUUUCAACCCGAACUCGCUAAGCAGAUUUGGGCCAGGGACCGGGCUGCAUAGAAAUUUUUCUAAGUCCCUGACACCCUCCUCCACCUAAUGCGCAGGCGUCCUCGUCGCGCGCUGCUUCUGGAACUCGUCGAUGAGCGCUUGGUACUGCCAAAGUGUGUCCGCCUUCUCCCAACUCGCCUCGCCGAAUGGGAGAUUCUUCCACUUCACCAAGUACUCAGGAUUCGGCACGACCCCACGUCGCCGAAUGAGUCGAGUGUCCAGGAUGGACUCCGCUUCUUUGUCGAACGAAGUCACCAUGGUCGGAGGCGCUCGCUGCGACACUCCUCUGCUCGGAUCCUCCGCGUCCUCGUUGUACAGCUUCAACCUGCUGACAUGAAAAACAGGGUGGAUCCUGAGGUUUGCGGGCAGCUGCAGCUUGUAGGCCCCCUUGCCCACACGCUUGACGACGGUAUAUGGGCCUUCGUACUUGCGCAGCAGUCCCUUGUGCACCUUCCGCAAGGCUUUGAACUGCUGCGGAUGAAGCUUGACCAUCACGCGGUCGCCCUCGGCAAACUCCCGAGGCUGUCGCUUUUCGUCAGCCCACUUCUUCAUCCGUCGUGCUGCUUUCUCCAAGUUCGCCCUUGCAAUUUCACCCUUUUCCUGCAAGUUAGUGGUAAACUGAAGAGCAACUGGGCUGCGGAACUGCUCUCCCGCAGCAGCCGUGUGAGGGGCAAGUGGUUGUCGCCCGAUCGCCAACUCGAAAGGGCUGCAGCCUGUAGACUCGCUGCGCCGCAAAUUGUAAGCAAACUGGGCGACAUCGAGAUGAUGCACCCAAUCCUUCUGAUUGGCACUCACAUAGUGCCGCAAAUACUCCUCCAACAGAGCGUUCACCCGCUCAGUUUGCCCGUCGGUCUGUGGAUGCCAACUGGUGGAGAAGAGCAACUCCGACCCCAAGAUUUUGAACACCUCGGUCCAAAACUUGCCAGUGAACCUGGGGUCGCGGUCGCUCACGAUGCUCGUGGGGAUCCCCCAAAGCUUGACGAUGUGGCUGACGAAGAGGCGUGCCGCUUCUUCAGCCGUGCAAUCGGUCGGCGCAGCAAUGAAGGUCCCGUACUUGGAAAAACGAUCAACCACCACCAGAAUGGACCCAAGCACCCCCACCUUUGGUAAGGCGGAGAUGAAGUCCAUCGAAAUGCUCUCCCACGGACGGCUAGGCACAGGUAAAGGCUCGAGGAGUCCGCCAGGUCGCUGGUGCUCAACUUUGUCUUGUUGACACACCAAGCAGGUUCGCACGUAGGCCUCCACGUCUUCGUGCAUCCGCGGCCAAAAGUAGGCGGCCUCGAGCAACGCCAGGGUUCGCUUCUGACCUGGGUGGCCCGCCCACUUGGAGUCAUGGCACUCCUUGAUGAGCUCGCGGCGAAGGUUGCCCCACUUGGGCACGUACACCCGUCGCCCCUUUGUGAGGAGCAGCCCGUCGCUCAGCCAAAACCUUCGCGUUUUGCCCUCCUUGACAAGCUGCACCAGAUUUUGAGCGAUAGGGUCCUCAUUGGUUCCUGAACGAAGUCGAUCGCGGAGCGUCCCUUGAAGCUGCCACACGGCUGCAAGCUCAGCCUUGCGGCUGAGAGCAUCAGCCACGCGGUUUUCCUUCCCGGGCUUGUAUUGCAUCUCCAUGUCGAACUCCGCCAAGAAGUCUUGCCACCUCGCCUGCUUAGGGGACAGCUUCUUUUGGGAUUGGAAGUAGCUUGUGGCAACGUUGUCGGUGCGCACCACAAACUUGCUCCCAAGCAAAUAGUGCCGCCAGGUUCGCAAGCAAUGCACCACAGCGGUCAUUUCCUUCUCUUGGACGGUGUAACGCCGCUCGGUGUCGUUGAGCUUGCGGCUCUCAUAGGCGAUGGGGUGCCCAUCCUGCACGAGGACACCGCCAAUGGCAAAGUCAGAGGCAUCAGUAUGUACCUCAAAGGUGCGACUGCAGUCGGGUAGUCGCAGCACUGGAUCCUCCGUCACCGCUCGCUUUAGGUCCUCGAAUGCCUCCGCACAUUGAGAGGUCCAAACCCACGAGUGGUUUUUCUUCAGCAGAUCCGUCAACGGGGCUGCUCUCGCAGAGUAGCCAGCAAUGAAUCGGCGGUAGUAGUUAACGAGUCCAAGGAAAGACCGCAACUCGGACACCGUCGUUGGGGUCUCCCAUUCGCAGAUGGCUCGCACCUUCCGCUGGUCCAUGCGAAUCAGGCCCUGGCCUAUCCAGUGGCCAAGGAAGUGCACCUCUUCCUUCGCGAAUAUGCACUUCUCCUUCUUGACGAACAGCUGGUUCUCCCGCAGCACUUGGAAGACGGUUCGCAAGUGCUCGAUGUGCUCCUCCAAGGUGUUGCUAUAUACCACGAUGUCGUCGAGGUACACCACCACAAAGCGAUCGAGAUAGGGAUGGAACAGCUUGUUCAUAAGUGUGCAGAAGGUUGCUGGCGCGUUCGUCAAGCCGAACGGCAUGACAAGGAACUCAUAGGCCCCGUACCUCGUCACGCACGUGGUCUUCUCCUCGUCUCCUUCUGCAAUCCGCACUUGAUAAUACCCAGAGCGAAGGUCGAGUUUGGUGAAGUACUUCGCUCCGCCCAAUUGGUCGAAGAGAUCUGCAACCAAAGGAAUUGGGUAUUUGUUUUUGACCGUUACCUUGUUGAGCGCUCUGUAAUCGAUACAAAGCCGCAGGCUUCCGUCGCUCUUGCGCUGGAACAAAACUGGUGCUCCAUAGGGUGCCUUUGACGGUCGGAUGAAGCCCGCAUCGAGGAGCUCCUUCAACUGCUUUUGCAGCUCCUCGAGCUCUGGCGGGGCCAUUCUAUAUGGCGCUUUCGCUGGCGGUUUGGCUCCUGGCUCGAGCUCAAUGGCAUGAUCCACCUCCCGUCUAGGUGGAAGUUGCUUCGGCAGUUCCUUUGGCAUGACAUCCUGGAAAUCUGCCAAGACCGCCCCAAUCUCUGCAGGAAGGCCCUCCUCGUCGAGGCCCUCGUCGCUCACCUCGCGGAUCGCCGCAAGGUAAGUCAUCUCACCACGGUUCACACCCCUUCGCAACUGCAAUGCAGAGAGGGUUUGGGUGCUUACCGUUUUCUCCUGGCUUGCUAGGACCAUGCAUGGGGCCGCCUCGUCCAUGAUGCUCAAGGCCCCAAGGUGUGGCAUCGGAACCGCCUUCGACGAAGCCAAGAAGUCCAUACCUAGUAUGACUUGGAAGUCGUCGAUGGGUGCAGCGGUGAAGUUUGCGGUGCCUCUCCAAGGUCCCACCGCAAUGGCCACGCCUUUGGCCACGCCCGCAACAGGUUGCGCCUCAGAGUUGACGGCCUUGAUCCUGCUAGCAUCCUUCUCAAGGGGAAGGCCUAUCCGUUUGGCCUCCGCUUCGGCAACAAAGUUGUGAGUGGCUCCCGUGUCCACCAAUGCUCGUGUGGCCCUGCCGUUAAGGGUCACAUCGAUGUACAGAAGCUCCUUGUUGAGGGGCUUGCUGCUGCUUGCCAGCCCCUGAACCGCGUUGACGAGCCUAAGCGCGCCCAUCUUCGUCGGUUCUGCACUGCCCUCGCCCUGCUCGGUCUGGACAGCAUUCAGCUUCUUCUUGUUUGGGCAGUCCCUCGCCCAAUGGUUCUCGCCGCAGACGUAGCACGUCAAUUUCUUUGGCGGCGGCACAGGACCCCUCUCGCGGCCCCUGCGCUCCUUCUGGUCACGACGGUCUCCUCCACCUUUAGCCUUGCUCGCUUUGGGCGUCUUGCUGCGAGUUGAAUCCGCCCGCUCGUACUCGGGCAGUUUUUCCGCCAAGGCAAUUGCGGAGGCAACGUCCUUGACGUCGCGUCCCACAAGCUCCUUGUUCGCCCAAGGUUGGAGUCCGUCGAGGAAGAAGAAUAAGCGAUCUUCCUCCGCCAUGUUGGUGAUGGACAGCAUCAACUUGGAGUAUUCCUUGACAUACUCCUUGAGCGUCCCGGUGUGUUUGAGCCGUCGAAGUUGCUUCCUCGCAAGGUACUCGACGUGCUCGGGGUAGAACUGCGCCUUGAGCUCGCGCACGAAGUCCUCCCACGUCUUCAAGUUGCAUUGGCCCUUCUCGGCUUCUGCAGAACGCCGACGCCACCACAGCAUCGCGUCAUCAGCAAGGUACAUGGAUGCAGCCUGGACUUUCUCAUCUUCGUCGUCCAGCCGCAACGCCUUGAAGUAGCGCUCCAUGUGCCACAGAAAGUUGUCGAUCUCCUUCUCGUCGCGGGUUCCCCUGAAAUUUUGAGGCUCAGGGAUACGUACCUUCGAAGCGGACUCUCGUUGGGGUUCGUGGCCACGCGCCACCGCUUUCUCAAGGAUCGUUACUCUUGUCUUGAGGUCCUCGACCUCGUCGACUCGAGCAACAAGCUCCUCGAUCAGUUUCUUUCGCUCCUCGUCACGAUUCUUCAUGUUGGCUUGGAGCUUUUCGAGAUCGCUUCGAAAUGUCUCCAUGGCUGUAGCGACACUUUCCUCCAUGCUGUGGACAUCUUCGUUGAAUGAGUUAAAGGUAUCCGCCAUCUCGGUGUACCUUUCACCCAUUUUCGCGAUGAUGUCCUCCAACAGCACAAGGCGGUCCUCCAACGACGCCGAAUCCCUCGUGAUUCGCUGAGGGUCUUUGCUCUUGCUUCGCUUGGAGGGCUGCUUUGGAGGGUCGCCCCCAACGUCGACGAUUCCCGCAUCGGAUGACGACAUGGUUCCUCGCUCGAACCGGCUCUGAUACCAACUGUCACGGACUUAGCGUUUUCGUUCGCAAAGCCCGUGCGGCGCCCACCUUUCCUGCUCGAAGAUGGACAAGCCUUUGUCCCUAUUGCUAGCCCGGACCUUCGCGUCCUACGACUAAGUAUGCAAAGGGAAAUGACAAAGAGAAAGAGGCAGAGGUUCUCUCAAAAAAACUAAGUACUACACUACUUAGAAAUGAGAAUUACAACCUACAAACAGCAUACAAACACACUCUCUCUUGUGUGUCAUGGCCUUAGCCAACCCCACUAUUUAUAGGCCCAAAGGUGCCUUUUCAACUCACCCACUACCACAUAACUCACCCAUUAUUACAUACAUAAUGAGCCUACAUAAUGAGCCCUCAUAAAUGCCAAAAGCUCAAGAGUCACCCAUAACUCCCAUGAGUUUCAUGACCCUUGAGUUUCCCACAGCGGGUUGGGUUUGGGUCUACUUGCCAACCCGAUUCGACCCGUUUUCAACCCGAACUCGCUAAGCAGAUUUGGGCCAGGGACCGGGCUGCAUAGGAAUUUUUCUAAGUCCCUGACAAUUAGCACUUAUAUUGUAGCAAUACUGUAGCGCUGGAUCGCUGAUGAGAUCCAGCGAGGUAGAUUAUUAUGAGAGAAAACGCCGAUGAGAUCUGGUGAGGGAGAAGGGCGG